GCUAAUAUAGUUUAUAAAAACACUAGUUUGUGAAACUAGAAAUGAGGAUUAAACAACCUCUAUUAGCC
rnacentral:tRNA from 1 species